rnacentral:rRNA from 1 species
GAACGCUGGCGGCGUGCCUAAUACAUGCAAGUCGAACGCACAGCGAAAGGUGCUUGCACCUUUCAAGUGAGUGGCGAACGGGUGAGUAACACGUGGACAACCUGCCUCAAGGCUGGGGAUAACAUUUGGAAACAGAUGCUAAUACCGAAUAAAACUUAGUGUCGCAUGACACAAAGUUAAAAGGCGCUUCGGCGUCACCUAGAGAUGGAUCCGCGGUGCAUUAGUUAGUUGGUGGGGUAAAGGCCUACCAAGACAAUGAUGCAUAGCCGAGUUGAGAGACUGAUCGGCCACAUUGGGACUGAGACACGGCCCAAACUCCUACGGGAGGCUGCAGUAGGGAAUCUUCCACAAUGGGCGAAAGCCUGAUGGAGCAACGCCGCGUGUGUGAUGAAGGCUUUCGGGUCGUAAAGCACUGUUGUAUGGGAAGAACAGCUAGAAUAGGAAAUGAUUUUAGUUUGACGGUACCAUACCAGAAAGGGACGGCUAAAUACGUGCCAGCAGCCGCGGUAAUACGUAUGUCCCGAGCGUUAUCCGGAUUUAUUGGGCGUAAAGCGAGCGCAGACGGUUUAUUAAGUCUGAUGUGAAAGCCCGGAGCUCAACUCCGGAAUGGCAUUGGAAACUGGUUAACUUGAGUGCAGUAGAGGUAAGUGGAACUCCAUGUGUAGCGGUGGAAUGCGUAGAUAUAUGGAAGAACACCAGUGGCGAAGGCGGCUUACUGGACUGCAACUGACGUUGAGGCUCGAAAGUGUGGGUAGCAAACAGGAUUAGAUACCCUGGUAGUCCACACCGUAAACGAUGAACACUAGGUGUUAGGAGGUUUCCGCCUCUUAGUGCCGAAGCUAACGCAUUAAGUGUUCCGCCUGGGGAGUACGACCGCAAGGUUGAAACUCAAAGGAAUUGACGGGGACCCGCACAAGCGGUGGAGCAUGUGGUUUAAUUCGAAGCAACGCGAAGAACCUUACCAGGUCUUGACAUCCUUUGAAGCUUUUAGAGAUAGAAGUGUUCUCUUCGGAGACAAAGUGACAGGUGGUGCAUGGUCGUCGUCAGCUCGUGUCGUGAGAUGUUGGGUUAAGUCCCGCAACGAGCGCAACCCUUAUUGUUAGUUGCCAGCAUUCAGAUGGGCACUCUAGCGAGACUGCCGGUGACAAACCGGAGGAAGGCGGGGACGACGUCAGAUCAUCAUGCCCCUUAUGACCUGGGCUACACACGUGCUACAAUGGCGUAUACAACGAGUUGCCAACCCGCGAGGGUGAGCUAAUCUCUUAAAGUACGUCUCAGUUCGGAUUGUAGUCUGCAACUCGACUACAUGAAGUCGGAAUCGCUAGUAAUCGCGGAUCAGCACGCCGCGGUGAAUACGUUCCCGGGUCUUGUACACACCGCCCGUCACACCAUGGGAGUUUGUAAUGCCCAAAGCCGGUGGCCUAACCUUUUAGGAAGGAGCCGUCUAAGGCAGGACAGAUGA